CACACAAAAAAAUUUUCGUACAAUCAGAACACUAUCUUAAAAGGACGGUUGAAACGAGAUAUUAAGAAGACGAACCAACUAAAAUCAUCACUUGUUUUGGUAAAAUAUGAAGGUAUUGAAGGUGGUAUUAUUUCUUAUGCUUGUUAUAUUGGCUGUCCAUGGAAAGAAACGAUCUAGUGAUAAGCUGUUGAAGAAGUUCGAGUCAAAUCGAUUUGCAAGAACACACGAGUCUUGUUCUUGUGUAAACGGUCUUCAAGGAGUUUGCGAGGACAAUGUCUGCCCAGGAGGAAAACAAAACUGCACUGGAAGCUGUCCUCAUACUGGAGAAGUUUGCUGUUACUGAUGUAACCUAUAGAGUGGUGUUUAGCAUGUAAUGACGAAUUAUGGGUGUAAUGAUUAAAUAAAAGUAUAUUGCAAGAA